rnacentral:rRNA from 1 species
GAUGAACGCUAGCGGGAGGCUUAACACAUGCAAGUCGAGGGGCAUCACGAGGUAGCAAUACUUUGGUGGCGACCGGCGCACGGGUGAGUAACGCGUAUGCAACCUACCCUGUACAGUGGGAUAACCCGGAGAAAUUCGGACUAAUACCGCAUAAAGAUAUUUUGAGGCAUCUUAAGAUAUUUAAAGCUUAGGUGGUACGGGAUGGGCAUGCGUAACAUUAGCUGGUUGGUAGGGUAACGGCCUACCAAGGCGAUGAUGUUUAGGGGACCUGAGAGGGUGAUCCCCCACACUGGUACUGAGACACGGACCAGACUCCUACGGGAGGCAGCAGUGAGGAAUAUUGGUCAAUGGGCGGAAGCCUGAACCAGCCAUCCCGCGUGCAGGAAGACAGCCCUAUGGGUUGUAAACUGCUUUUCCAGUGGGCGAAACACUCGUACGUGUACGAGAUUGACGGUACACUGGGAAUAAGCAUCGGCUAACUCCGUG